UACGUAGGGUGCAAGCGUUGUCCGGAAUUAUUGGGCGUAAAGAGCUCGUAGGCGGUUUGUCGCGUCGAAUGUGAAAUCCCGGGGCUCAACCCCGGGCCUGCAUUCGAUACGGGCAGACUAGAGUUCGGUAGGGGAGUCUGGAAUUCCCGGUGUAGAGGUGAAAUUCGUAGAUAUCGGGAGGAACACCUGUGGCGAAGGCGGCCAUCUGGACGGCAAUUGACGCUGAGACGCGAAAGCGUGGGUAGCAAACAGG
rnacentral:rRNA from 1 species